UUUAAAGGAAAAGAAAAGUGACCAUCCACUGUUAGUACAUAAUACAUAUGUUGCUUUUUGUUUUUCCAUAUCUGAACCUUCGUUUGCUUCUUUUAAAUUGGUUGGGGUUCUUAGUGAGUCUUACAAAUUACUUAUAAGUUAGGAGGUGUCUGAAAAAUAGUUUCUUUGAUAUUAUCCAAGCUCGGAUUCUGCUAGUACUAUUUGAAGGUUUCGCGAACAGAUAUUAUAGCUUUGGCGCCAAGAUCCGGGCACCAGCAGUCGACGUUGAUGUGAUUCCUAUCUUCCAUUACUGACUCAGAGAAGAGUAUAUUGGCUUUGGGCGUCCGGAAGUUGUAUGAGAUGUGGGAGAUUUCCAGUACAGCUGCACUUCCCUUCAUCACUAUGCUUGGGAUCCUAUCUUUCCUCUUGUAAGAGACAUUACGAUCACAUGAAUUACACAUGCAUUCAAAUAAUAACAUACAGAUAUAGUUUCAAUUCAAACGUCUAGAUCAAAUGAGACUGUUUUGGUAAAAGAACAAGUCAUUUGUUUCAAGUUCUGUUAUGCUCUGUGGCCGAUAUGGAGCUUGUUGACCCUUCCUCUUGUGGUAUGUCCUGAAUUUUGCUAAAUGUGAUUUAUUUUCCUUCCACUA